GUGAGGAAUAUUGGUCAAUGGACGGAAGUCUGAACCAGCCAUGCCGCGUGCAGGAAUAAGGUCCUAUGGAUUGUAAACUGCUUUUAUUCGGGAAUAAACCUCUUUACGUGUAGGGAGCUGAAGGUACCGAAGGAAUAAGCACCGGCUAACUCCGUGCCAGCAGCCGCGGUAAUACGGAGGGUGCAAGCGUUAUCCGGAAUCAUUUGGUUUAAAGGGUCCGCAGGCGGGCUAUCAAGUCAGAGGUGAAAUCCCACAGCUUAACUGUGGAACUGCCUUUGAAACUGAUGGUCUUGAAUUAAGUGGGCGUUGGCGGAAUAUGACAUGUAGCGGUGAAAUGCAUAGAUAUGUCAUGGAACACCGAAAGCGAAGGCAGCUAACGAUACUUAUAUUGACGCUCAUGGACGAAAGCGUGGGUAGCGAACAGGAUUAGAUACCCUUGUAGUCC
rnacentral:rRNA from 1 species